rnacentral:rRNA from 1 species
GAGUCUCGUGAGACUUUUUGCAUGUACCUUAUGAAUAAGGACCGGCUAAUUCCGUGCCAGCAGCCGCGGUAAUACGGAAGGUCCGGGCGUUAUCCGGAUUUAUUGGGUUUAAAGGGAGCGUAGGCCGGAGAUUAAGCGUGUUGUGAAAUGUAGACGCUCAACGUCUGCACUGCAGCGCGAACUGGUUUCCUUGAGUACGCACAAAGUGGGCGGAAUUCGUGGUGUAGCGGUGAAAUGCUUAGAUAUCACGAAGAACUCCGAUUGCGAAGGCAGCUCACUGGAGCGCAACUGACGCUGAAGCUCGAAAGUGCGGGUAUCGAACAGGAUUAGAUACCCUGGUAGUCCGCACGGUAAACGAUGGAUGCCCGCUGUUGGUCUGAACAGGUCAGCGGCCAAGCGAAAGCAUUAAGCAUCCCACCUGGGGAGUACGCCGGCAACGGUGAAACUCAAAGGAAUUGACGGGGGCCCGCACAAGCGGAGGAACAUGUGGUUUAAUUCGAUGAUACGCGAGGAACCUUACCCGGGCUUGAAUUGCAGAGGAAGGAUUUGGAGACAAUGACGCCCUUCGGGGCCUCUGUGAAGGUGCUGCAUGGUUGUCGUCAGCUCGUGCCGUGAGGUGUCGGCUUAAGUGCCAUAACGAGCGCAACCCCUCUCCUUAGUUGCCAUCAGGUUAAGCUGGGCACUCUGGGGACACUGCCACCGUAAGGUGUGAGGAAGGUGGGGAUGACGUCAAAUCAGCACGGCCCUUACGUCCGGGGCUACACACGUGUUACAAUGGCAGGUACAGAGAGACGGUUCAAUGCAAAUUGGAUCAAAUCCUUAAAGCCUGUCUCAGUUCGGACUGGGGUCUGCAACCCGACCCCACGAAGCUGGAUUCGCUAGUAAUCGCGCAUCAGCCAUGGCGCGGUGAAUACGUUCCCGGGCCUUGUACACACCGCCCGUCAAGCCAUGAAAGCCGGGGGCGCCUAAAGUCCGUGACCGUAAGGAGCGGCCUAGGGCGAAACUGGUAAUUGGGGCUAAGUCGUAACAAGGUAGCCGUACCGGAAGGUGCGGCUGGAACACCUCCUUUCU